rnacentral:rRNA from 1 species
UCUUGACAUCCACAGAACUUGCCAGAGAUGGCUUGGUGCCUUCGGGAACUGUGAGACAGGUGCUGCAUGGCUGUCGUCAGCUCGUGUUGUGAAAUGUUGGGUUAAGUCCCGCAACGAGCGCAACCCUUAUCCUUUGUUGCCAGCGGUUAGGCCGGGAACUCAAAGGAGACUGCCAGUGAUAAACUGGAGGAAGGUGGGGAUGACGUCAAGUCAUCAUGGCCCUUACGACCAGGGCUACACACGUGCUACAAUGGCGCAUACAAAGAGAAGCGACCUCGCGAGAGCAAGCGGACCUCAUAAAGUGCGUCGUAGUCCGGAUUGGAGUCUGCAACUCGACUCCAUGAAGUCGGAAUCGCUAGUAAUCGUAGAUCAGAAUGCUACGGUGAAUACGUUCCCGGGCCUUGUACACACCGCCCGUCACACCAUGGGAGUGGGUUGC